AAGAAGCAGCUGUGCCAGAUGUUUUGUCAUUCAUCUCAAAAACAUCAUAUGAAAAACAAGCAGAAGAGUCAUAAUCCUCAUCCGGAGCUUGCUGUCCAGGUCAAACUCCGGCUUCGCAGACACCAGCCCUUACACCCAGCGCGAGACUGUGAGGUACAGAAACCGAGGUGGGCAAAGCUUAGGCCCUGGGAGCUGAGAGAAGACGCACGCAGCCGCCAGAGCACAGACUGGGUCCCGGAAGCUCGGAGAAGCUCACGGAGGCUGCCGAGGGCCCCCCCGGGAGCAGUGAAGGCCAGGGACGUUUCAUGGAGUCCAGGACAAGAACCAAGCCCCGUUUUGUGCCUUCACAGAGCAGGCAUUGCCGCCUGACAGUUCUCUGUUCCAGUCUUCCCUGAGUGAGGAAGAAGACCAAGAUCUACAGGAUAAACCCAGCCACCCUCCAGGCCUCCCAGGCAAAGGCCUCUUCCCAAUACCCAGGGCCAGACAUACUUUUCUCCCCAUGUUGAUUCAUUAUGUCAUCUUGACAGAGCACUUGGCAGGGUCCAAACACUGCGAUGGGUGCUGAGAUACUACUGUGGUUUGGAUCUGGAUUGAGCGUGCUCCCGAAGGGUUCCUGGGUUGACAUUCAGUCCCCAUCCGAGAUGUGAAGGGUCCGGAAACUUAAUCUGACCAUGGAGUUUGGAGGUGGGGUUGGG
rnacentral:lncRNA from 1 species